CCUACGGGGGGCAGCAGUGGGGAAUAUUGCACAAUGGGGGAAACCCUGAUGCAGCGACGCCGCGUGAGUGAAGAAGUAUUUCGGUAUGUAAAGCUCUAUCAGCAGGGAAGAAAAUGACGGUACCUGAUUAAGAAGCCACGGCUAACUACGUGCCAGCAGCCGCGGUAAUACGUAGGGGGCAAGCGUUCUCAGGAUUUACUGGGUGUAAAGGGGGCGUAGACGGCAGCACAAGUCUGGAGUGAAAUCCCGGGGCUUAACCCCGGAACUGCUUUGGAAACUGUGCAGCUAGAGUGCAGGAGGGGUAAAUGGAAUUCCUAGUGUAGCGGUGAAAUGCGUAGAUAUUAGGAGGAACACCAGUGGCGAAGGCGGCUUACUGGACUGUAACUGACGUUGAGGCUCGAAAGCGUGGGGAGCAAACAGGAUUAGAUACCCUGGUAGUC
rnacentral:rRNA from 1 species